UGUGUUCUCAGGUCGCCCCCG
rnacentral:miRNA from 4 species